GAUCCUGGCUCAGGAUGAACGCUAGCGGCAGGCUUAACACAUGCAAGUCGAGGGGCAGCGCGUUGUAGCAAUACGAUGGCGGCGACCGGCGAAAGGGUGCGUAACGCGUAUGCAACCAACCCCCGACGGGCGGACAGCCGGUGGAAACGCCGGAUAAUACGCCAUGCGGCUGUCCAGGGGCAUCCCUGGGCGGUCAAAGCCUUGGCGGUCGGGGACGGGCAUGCGUGCCAUUAGAUGGUCGGCGGGGUGACGGCCCACCGAGUCGACGAUGGCUAGGGGAUCUGAGAGGACGGUCCCCCACACUGGUACUGAGACACGGACCAGACUCCUGCGGGAGGCAGCAGUAAGGGAUAUUGGGCAAUGGGGGCAACCCUGACCCAGCCAUGCCGCGUGAGGGAAUGAGGCCCUACGGGUCGUGAACCUCUUUUAUUCGGGGACAAGGACGCGCACGAGAUGCGCGUUUGAGGGUACCGAAGGAAUAAGCGUCGGCUAACUCCGUGCC
rnacentral:rRNA from 1 species